rnacentral:rRNA from 1 species
AACGAACGCUGGCGGCAGGCCUAACACAUGCAAGUCGAACGCUGUAGCAAUACAGAGUGGCAGACGGGUGAGUAACACGUGGGAAUCUUCCUAUCGGUACGGAAUAGCUCAGGGAAACUUGGGGUAAUACCGCAUACGCCCUUCGGGGGAAAGAUUUAUCGCCGAUAGAUGAGCCCGCGUCUGAUUAGCUAGUUGGUGAGGUAAUGGCUCACCAAGGCGACGAUCAGUAGCUGGUCUGAGAGGAUGACCAGCCACACUGGGACUGAGACACGGCCCAGACUCCUACGGGAGGCAGCAGUAGGGAAUAUUGGACAAUGGGCGCAAGCCUGAUCCAGCCAUGCCGCGUGAGUGACGAAGGUCUUCGGAUUGUAAAGCUCUUUUGGCGGGGACGAUAAUGACGGUACCUGCAGAAUAAGCCCCGGCCAACUACGUGCCAGCCGCCGCGGUAA